GAGAGACUAGUUGAACACUUAUUAUACCAGGAGAGACUAGUUGAACACUUAUUAUACCAGGAGAGACUAGUUUAACACUUGUUAUACCAGGAGAGAGAGAGAGACUAGUUUAACACUUGUUAUACCAGGAGAGAGAGAGAGACUAGUUUAACACUUAUUAUACCAGGUGAGAGACUAGUUUAACACUUGUUAUACCAGGAGAGAGAGAGACUAGUUUAACACUUAUUAUACCAGGAGAGAGAGAGACUAGUUUAACACUUGUUAUACCAGGAGAGACUAGUUUAACAUUUAUUAUACCAGGAGAGACUAGUUUAACACUUGUUAUACCAGGAGAGACUAGUUUAACAUUUAUUAUACCAGGAGAGACUAGUUUAACACUUGUUAUACCAGGAGAGACUAGUUUAACACUUAUUAUACCAGGAGAGACUAGUUUAACACUUGUUAUACCAGGAGAGACUAGUUUAACACAUUAUACCAGGAGAGACUAGUUUAACACUUGUUAUACCAGGAGAGA
rnacentral:lncRNA from 1 species